AUUGAACGCUGGCGGCAUGCCUUACACAUGCAAGUCGAACGGCAGCACGGGUGCUUGCACCUGGUGGCGAGUGGCGAACGGGUGAGUAAUACAUCGGAACAUGUCCUGUAGUGGGGGAUAGCCCGGCGAAAGCCGGAUUAAUACCGCAUACGAUCUACGGAUGAAAGCGGGGGACCUUCGGGCCUCGCGCUAUAGGGUUGGCCGAUGGCUGAUUAGCUAGUUGGUGGGGUAAAGGCCUACCAAGGCGACGAUCAGUAGCUGGUCUGAGAGGAGGACCAGCCACACUGGGACUGGGCCAGGGCCCAGACUCCUGCGGGAGGCAGCAGUGGGGAAUUUUGGACAAUGGGCGGAAGCCUGGUCCAGCAAUGCCGCGUGUGUGAAGAAGGCCUUCGGGUUGUAAAGCACUUUUGUCCGGAAAGAAAUCCUUGGCCCUAAUACGGUCGGGGGAUGACGGUACCGGAAGAAUAAGCACCGGCUAACUACGUG
rnacentral:rRNA from 1 species